rnacentral:rRNA from 1 species
GCGUGAAGGAAGAAGGCCCUCGGGUUGUAAACUUCUUUGACCAAGGACGAAACAAAUGACGGUACUUGGAAAACAAGCCACGGCUAACUACGUGCCAGCAGCCGCGGUAAUACGUAGGUGGCAAGCGUUGUCCGGAUUUACUGGGUGUAAAGGGCGUGCAGGCGGGAAUGCAAGUCAGGCGUGAAAACUAUGGGCUCAACCCAUAGCCUGCGUUUGAAACUGUAUUUCUUGAGUGAUGGAGAGGUAGGCGGAAUUCCUCGUGUAGCGGUGAAAUGCAU